rnacentral:rRNA from 1 species
GAUGAACGCUGGCGGCGUGCUUAACACAUGCAAGUCGAACGGAAAGGCCCUGCUUUUGUGGGGUGCUCGAGUGGCGAACGGGUGAGUAACACGUGAGUAACCUGCCCCUGACUUUGGGAUAACUUCUGGAAACUGGGGCUAAUACCGGAUAGGAGCUCCUGCUGCAUGGUGGGGGUUGGAAAGUGCCGGCGGUUGGGGAUGGACUCGCGGCUUAUCAGCUUGUUGGUGGGGUAGUGGCUGACCAAGGCUUUGACGGGUAGCCGGCCUGAGAGGGUGACCGGCCACCAUGGGACUGAGAUACGGACCAGACUCCUACGGGAGGCAGCAGUGGGGAAUAUUGCACAAUGGGCGGAAGCCUGAUGCAGCAACGCCGCGUGCGGGAUGACGGCCUUCGGGUUGUAAACCGCUUUCGCCUGUGACGAAGCGUGAGUGACGGUACUGGGUCAAAAAGCACCGGCUAACUACGUG